rnacentral:rRNA from 1 species
AAAGAGCGCNGCUAACUGCAGUAGACGCUGAGGUUUGGUGUUUACCUAGACUGAUGAGUUGCGAACGGGUGAGUAACGCGUAGGUAACCUGCCUCAUAGCGGGGGAUAACUAUUGGAAACGAUAGCUAAUACCGCAUAAGAGUAAUUAACACAUGUUAGUUAUUUAAAAGGAGCAAUUGCUUCACUGUGAGAUGGACCUGCGUUGUAUUAGCUAGUUGGUGAGGUAAAGGCUCACCAAGGCGACGAUACAAAGCCGACCUGAGAGGGUGAUCGGCCACACUGGGACUGAAACACGGCCCAGACUCCUACAGGAGGCGAGCAGUAGGGAAUCUUCUGCAAUGGACGGAAGUCUGACCGAGAAACGCCGCGUGAGUGAAGAAAGUUUUCGGAUCUUAAAGCUCUGUUGUUAGAGAAGAACCUUGGUAGGAGUGGAAAAUCUACCAAGUGACAGUUACUAACCACAAAGGGACGGGUAACUACGUGCCAACAGCCGCGGUAAUACAUAAGUCCCGAGCGUUGUCCGGAUUUAUUGGGCGUAAAGCGAGCGCACGCGGUUCUUUAAAUCUGAAGUUAAAGGCAGUGGCUUAACCAUUGUACGCUUUGUAAACUGGAGGACUUGAGUGCUGAANGAGAGAGUGGAAUUCCUUGUGUAGCGGUGAAAUGCGUAGAUAUAUGGAGGAACACUGGUGGCGAAAACGGCUCUCUGGUCUGUAACUGACACUGAAGCUCGAAAGCGUGGGGAGCAAACACGAUUAUAUACCCUGGUAGUACACGCCGUAAACAAUGAGUGCUANGAGUUAGGCCAUUUCCGGGCUUUAUGCGCUGCUUACGCAUUAAAACUCCCCCUGGGGA